rnacentral:lncRNA from 8 species
AUGACCAGACAUGCCUCCACUGAUUCCACUCCUAGUGACAGUGGCUCGACCCCUAGUGACAGUGGCUCUAGUCCCUCCCCCAGCACCCCUCAGAAGCUGCUCCCAUCAUGCACCUCUCUGUUCGGGCCACGGCUGGUUCGGGCCACACCCAGCUCCUCCACGACCCCGCGACCCCAGCCUGAAGGUUCAGACCGUCGCCACAGUAACACGGUCCGACUUAGCGGGACGUUUGGAGGUCACGGACCCUGUGGACGCCGUAGCGGACCCGUGAAGAUGGAGAGAAUCAAGGUUCUGAUGGGCUCAGAGGUGGAGAGCGACUACAAGGAGCCAGAGAACAUGAACACACGGGUGGUGAUGGGCCAGGAGGCCCUGCUCAAGACAAAGAAAACCCUGACAGGGAAGUGCCCAUGCGGGCAGAGCAGCCAGGCGAUACCCCUGCCCGGAGGCCCAGUCUUGGAGGUCCCUAAGCCUCCCUUAGAGCCCCAGGCCGAGGCUGGAGAAAAGGCCCAACUGGACACAGGGCAGGAGAGAGCCAAUUCACCUCUGACCCCAAAGAUGGAGCAAGAGCAGGAGAGAAGCCCUGUCCUGCCCAUUAGCCCUCUCCUCACCCCUCUCCUAACCCCCCUCAUCCCUGCCUCCCCUCCCUCCUCAGAGCCAGUCACAGUGGAUGUUAGCUUGACGGGCAGCUUAAGCCCUUUGGAGGCAGGGCUGUCUCCCUAUGGCGAAAUGCCUUUUGUAUGUGCCAUGUAUGCCAUGCCCUCCCUGUCCGAGCCAGCCUAUCCCUCUGCUAUCCUAUCCUUCACUGAGCCGGCCUAUGCCGUGGACCCUCUGAGAGUGGGUGUUCCCUCGUCCCUGGAUCCUGACCUAUACUACACCGCCCCCUCCACCCCCAUCAAGAUGGCUGCUCGCCCCUUACACCUCAAACACCGCUCUUACCCCGGCUCCCCAGCCUCUCCCCUCUCACCAAACUCCCCCUCGGACAGUGAGGACCUGUGCUCCCCCCUCACUUCCCCCUCUGGCUCCUACGUCACGGCGGAGGGGGGCAGCUGGACCUCUUCCACCUCCCCCUGCACCUCCCCCAAUCUUCUCCUGGCAGAGGAGGUGCAGGAGGCACCUGCAUGCUUUGUCAGCUCGCUGUCCGAAAUCGGAGACGAAGUGGGGGAGGAUAGGGGAGCAGUAGGGGAGAGGGCAGAGGAGAAGGGAGGAGGAGCAGCAGAGUGGCGGUUCUGCCUCUAUAAGGGUCUAGCAGAAACUGUGAUCCUGGAGGAGGAGGAGGUGCUGAGAGGGGAGGUAAGGGAGAGGAGGAGUGAGGAAGCGACAGUCUCAAGGGGUAGCUGUCGCCCUCGCUGGGUGACAGAGGACACUUCCCCAUUGAGGAGCAGCAGCGGCAGAAGCACCGACUCCCAGGAAGAUGGAGGGGAGUCGGAGGGCUCGCUCUGCCCAGCAGAGGAUGCUCUGGCUGGGGGACAGCAGUACUCAAAUCCCCUGAUGCAAAGAGGCCUGGAGCUGGAGCUGCAGGCCUGUGUGUCUGAGGAGCUUUACUCUCCCAUUACUAACCCAGAUGAUGGAGCAGACUCCCCAAGGCUGACCUCCAUUUCCUUCCCCUUCGCCCCAGAUAUGGGGAACCUAAGCCCUCACACCUCCAGCGUCAACCCUGCCUCCUCCAACCUUACCAUGGACACCUGCUCUCCAGAUGUGUCAGACGGGGAUAACUCCAGCCCUUACGGAGAGAUGGGUACCUUCCUGCUGUUCCCAGGCUCCUACAGUGAUGAUGGAGAGAUGGAGGAGGAGGAGGAAGAGGAGAGUAUGAUCCCAGCCUCUCUGCUUAACUUCCCCCUCCACACCAGUCUCCUCUUCCAGGCAGACUCCAUGGAGAUCACUCUCUUCCCCACAGAGGAGGGGAAUGAGGGAGGAGAGGGAAACGACAGGAACGAAGGGAACGAUGUGGAUGCAUACGCGGCCGGAGAGGAGGAGGGGGACGUGGAGGAUGAUGAUGAAGAUGAUGAGGAAGAAGAAGUGGAGGCUAAGGUAGAGAUAGAGGAGGCUAAAGUAGAAAUAGUGAUAGAGGAAGAGGUGGAUCAAGAGGAGGGUGAGGAUGAGGAAGAGGAGGAGGAGGGUGAGGGUAAGGCUGUAAAUGACCCAGCUGAAGAGGACAACCCGGCCUCCUUCCUUCAUUCACUGUCAGAAACUUCCAUCAACGAAGGGCUGGAUGAGUCCUUCUGUUUCCAUGACGACACUGACGACUCACUAGACUCCGCCUCUUAUAAUGGUGAAGAGGAUGAGCGGCUGUACAGCACAGAGAGACAUGCUGAACCACCCACAGGACCACCCACAGAACCACACACAGAACCACACCAAGCCAAACCUCAGCCUGAAACCAGACCAGAGGCCCACAGCACUGAACUGUCCCAGUCCCAGAGCAGACCUAGCCUAAUCAAUCCCCCAGGUGACAAAGAGCCCCGGCCUGAGGAUCCUCCAGGACCCAGACCACCACAACCUGCACUUGCACCUGCCCAACCUGCAGAAUCAGCCCACCCCGAGUCCUCCAACAGCAGUAGUGGGAGUGAAAUGGAGAUCUCUUCAGAGUCCUCUGAACCUCCUGUCCCCGCUCCUUCUCAGGAGAGCCCUUAUGUCUCUACCCUUAUCCCUAAACUUUCUAUAACCCCUUACCCUGCCUUCACUACCCCAAAGACUACUUCUGCUACUGUGUUAACCCCUAAAACCAAACCUGCAUCUUUCUCUAACCCCAACACUAACUGUGCUCCUGCCCUUAAUGCUAAAUCUGCUACUGUCUGCACCACUAACACUAACCCUGCUACAGCCUCAAUCCCACAAAAUAACUCUGCUACUUCCUCAACCUCCAAAACUAACCCUGCUACCGUAUGUACACCUGAAAUGAACCCUGCUACGGUCUCUACCCCUAACACUAACAGUGCUCCUGCCCCUAACGCUAAAUCUGGUACGGCCUGUACCACUAACACUAAUCCUGCUACAGUCUCAAACCCCAAAACUACCCCAGGUGCAUGCUCUACCCCAAACUCUGCUGCUACUCCUAACACUAACCCUGCUGCUACUCCUAACACUAACCCUGCUGCUACUCCUAACACUAAGCCUACUGCUACUCCUAACACUAACCCUGCUGCUACUCCUAACACUAACCCUGCUGAUACUCCUAACACUAACCCUGCUGCUACAAUCGAGGAGACAGCAUCCCACAGCAAUCCUGUCACCCUGGCAAGCCAGCCAUCCCAUAACAGCCCUGUGACCCUGGCAACAGGAGCAGGGCGAGCCAAAGCAGUUGCAGAGGAAGUACAGGCUGGUACGGUGAGAGAGGAGGACAAAAGGAGCAGUGCAAAGAGAGAGAAAGACAAACAGAGCGGUGGGGAGACAGGGAAGGACAAACAGAGCAGUGGGGAGAGAGGGAAGGACAAACAGAGCGGUGGGGAGAGAGGGAAGGACAAACAGAGCGGUGGAGAUAGAGGGAAGGACAAACAGAGCAGUGGGGAGAGAGGGAAGAACAAACAGAGCGUUUGGGAGAGAGGAAAGGACAAACAGAGCGGUGGGGAGAGAGGGAAGGACAAACAGAGCGGUGCGGAGAGAGAGAAUAAUGAACAGAGCACAGAGACUUCAGACGAGGACCACACAGAGCAGACAGACAGAGACUCGUUCAAACUACUCAUUAAGCCACGCCCCUCUAAGUCAGACACACCCCGGCCUAAACAGAAGACCUCUGAGCCCCGCAAGCCGCUCCCACGUGUGUUUGGGGUGGCAACAGCUUCAGUCCGGUCCAAACCGCUUCUGGUGUCAGUGCUGGAACUGGACCAUAAGAACGAGAACCGCAGCGCUGAAGGUGUGGACUCCCAUCAGGUCCUUGAAGGGACCACUGCCACCAACGACCUGAACAAGGGGGUCCCUCUGCUCUCAUACCCGAAAGAGCCUAACCCCAGCAACAUCCCUGUCUCCUCCUGCCCUGAGAGCUCACCUGACCUGGCUGACAACCUGUCCCUGACCCCUGACAUCUUCCCAUGUGACCCCGCCCAGGAGAACCUGAGGGAGAACACCCUGAGCACUGAGGACGGGGGCCCUGGGGCCCUGGGCUCCCCUCACACACCCCUGGCUGUCUCUCCCAAGAGGGAGAACUCAGAGACAGAUGCAGGGGGGAGGAGGGGGGAUGGGGUCUGGAGGGCUGAUAGGAGGGGGUUAGGAGCAGGGGCCGGGGCCUGGGGGCCAGGGGAGGCCCUAUCUCUCUCUCUGGGGCAGGGCUGUGGGUUGGAGGCACAGAGCCUAUUACUGUAUGAGGUGGAGGGACAUACAGUUGGACAGACAAUUGGACAGAAGAUUGGACAGACACUCUCCGGGCUGCCCAAUAUUGGCACAGACGAGGAUGAGGUGGGUGAUAUAAUGGGGGACGAAGAAGACAACAACAGCCUGUGUGGUCGGCCAGACAAGAUGGCAGAUGUCGAGCUUGUGGGAGAGGGAGUGCCAGAGUCCAACCUGUCCAGCUGGAGGUCCAUCGAGGAGAUAUCAGAGGCAGGGGGAGGAGAGGACGGAAGCUCCCAAUUCCCAGAGGAUGAUGUCAGCAACUUGCAGAGUCACCCGGAAAACAAGGAGGAGCAGGAAAACAACAACAAUGACUCAGUGUUCCUAUCCUCUGGAAUGCCAACCUGUGUGACUCUGAAUGCCCUGUCAGAGGAGGUGAAACACCAGAGCCAGAGUGUGAGUCUGAGGGCGUCUCUCUCAAACAUACCACUCACAGAGGUGAGAUCACAGGCUGCUGCAGCCUCCGAUAGGCCAACAACAUCAACUGACAGCUCAACACACCAAUCAGACAUAAGACAGCCUUCCUCGUCCAUGGAAAGCCCUGGGCGUGUCUCACCACCAGGAGGUAAACCACAGACUGUCUCAGACCAGAGCCCUGGUUCAGUAGAGGCAGCCAUUUCCAGACCCAACACUAACACAGAUAUUAACCCAGCAGUCAAACAGGCAGACCCUGCUCUGUCUCUGCUGGGUGGGGCAUUUGGAUCCUUCAGCCAUAAAAUCAGACCAAGCAACUCCAAGUCAGGCAGACUGUCCCUAGAAACUUCCCGAUCACUGAGGAAAGACACAGUAGAGAAUGUCCAAGUCUCCCAAGAAACUUCUCUCUCAGUGGGCAAAGACACAGUAGAGAAGGUCCAAGUUUCCCAAGAAACUUCCCCAUCAGUGGGUAAAGUCACAGUAGAGAAGGUUCAAGUUUUCCAAGAAUUUUUCCUAUCAGUGGGCAAAGACACAGUAGAGAAGGUCCAAGUUUCCAAAGAAUUUCCCCCAUCAGUGAGCAAAGACACAGUAGAGAAGGUCCAAGUUUCCCAAGAAAAUUCCCCAUCAGCGAGCAAAGACACAGUAGAGAAGGUCAAAGUAUUCCAAGAAUCGUCCCUAUCAGUGGGCAAAGACACAGUAGAGAAGGUCCAAGUUUCCAAAGAAUUUCCCCCAUCAGUGAGCAAAGACACAGUAGAGAAGGUCCAAGUUUCCCAAGAAAAUUCCCCAUCAGCGAGCAAAGACACAGUAGAGAAGGUCAAAGUAUUCCAAGAAUCGUCCCUAUCAGUGGGCAAACACACAGUAGAGAAAGUCCAAGUUUCCCAAGAAACUUCCCCAUCAGUGGGCAAAGACACAGUAGAGAAGGUCCAAGUUUCCCAAGAGACUUCCCCGUCAGUGAGCAAAGACACAGUAGAGAAGGUCCAAUUAUUCCUAGAAAUUUCCCCAUCAGUGAGCAAAGACACAGUAGACAAGGUCCAAGUUUCCCAAGAAACAUCGCCAUCAGUGGGCAAAGACACAGUAGAGAAGGUCCAAGUUUCCCAAGAAACUUUCCCAUCAGUGAGCAAAGACACAGUGGAGAAGGUCCAAGUCUCCCAAGAAUCUUCCCUAUCAGUGGGCAAAGACACAGUAGAGAAAGUCCAAGUUUCCCAAGAAACUUCCCCGUCAGUGAGCAAAGACACAGUAGAGAAGGUCCAAGUUUCCCAAGAAUCUUCCCCAUCAGUGGGCAAAUACACGGUAGAGAAGGUACAAGUUUCCCAAGAAACUUUCCCAUCAGUGGGCAAAGACACAGUAGAGAAGGUCCAAGUCUCCCAAGAAUCUCCCCUAUCAGUGGGCAAAGACACAGUAGAGAAAGUCCAAGUCUUCCCAAGAAACUUCCCCAUCAGUGGGCAAAGACACAGUAGAGAAGGUCCAAGUCUCCCAAGAAUCUCCCCUAUCAGUGGGCAAAGACACAGUAGAGAAAGCCCAAGUUUCCCAAGAAACUUCCCCAUCAGUGGGCAAAUACACAGUAGAGAAGGUUCAAGUUUCCCAAGAAACCUUCCCAUCUGUGAGCAAAGACACAGUAGAGAAGAUCCAAGUUUCCCAAGAAACAUCCCCAUCAGUGGGCAAAGACACAGUAGAGAAGAUCCAAGUUUCCCAAGAAACUUUCCAAUCAGUGAGCAAAGACACAGUAGAGAAGGUCCAAGUCUCCCAAGAAUCUCCCCUAUCAGUGGGCAAAGACACAGUAGAGAAAGUCCAAGUUUAUCAAGAAACUUCCCCGUCAGUGAGCAAAGACACAGUAGAGAAGAUCCAAGUUUCCCAAGAAUCUUCCCCAUCAGUGGGCAAAUACACGGUAGAGAAGGUCCAAGUUUCCCAAGAAACUUUCCCAUCAGUGGGCAAAGACACAGUAGAGAAGGUCCAAGUCUCCAAACAAUCUCCCCUAUCAGUGGGCAAAGACACAGUAGAGAAGGUCCAAGUUUCCCAAGAAACUUUCCCAUCAGUGGGUAAAUACACAGUAGAGAAGUUUCAAGUUUCCCAGGAAACUUCCCCAUCAUUGGGCAAAGACACAGUAGAAAAGAUCCAAGUGUCCCAAGAAACUUCCCCAUCAGUGGGCAAAGACACCGUAGAUGAGGUCCAAGUUUCCCAAGAAACUUUCCCAUCAGUGAGCAAAGACACAGUAGAGAAGGUCCAAGUUUCCCAAGAAACUUCCCCAUCAGUGAGCAAUGACACAGUAGAGAAGGUCCAAGUCUCCAAACAAUCUCCCCUAUCAGUAGGCAAAGACACAGUAGAGAAGGUCCAAGUCUCCAAACAAUCUCCCCUAUCAGUAGGCAAAUACACAGUAGAGAAGGUUCAAGUUUCCCAGGAAACUUCCCCAUCAUUGGGCAAAGACACCGUAGAUGAGGUCCAAGUUUCCCAAGAAACUUCCCUAUCAGUGAGUAAAGACACAGUAGAGAAGGUCCAAGUUUCCCAAGAAAUUUCCCCAUCAGUGGGCAACGACACAUUAGAGAAGGUACAUGUUUCCCAAGAAACGUCCCAAUCAGUGAGCAAUGACACAGUAGAGAAGGUCCAAGUUUCCCAAGAAUUUUCCCCAUCAGUGAGCAAAGACACAGUAGAGAAGGUACAAGUUUUCCAAGAAUCUUCCCUAUCAGUGGGCAAAGACACGGUAGAAAGUGUGCAAAAACUCUGUUCCCAGCCUCAGCCAAAGGAGACAGAGCCACAAACGAUGAGCCAAAGAGAGGGUGGUGGCGGUCAGAAGACUGACAGGCACAUUGACCAACCAAAGACGAGUGGGGCCUUAGAAGGACAGGAGAGUAGUGUUUGUAUCUCAGGGGAAAGAGAGGUGGAGGAGAGAGCAGAGGAGAGAUUCUCUCCAACAGAGAGUGUUCCAGAACCUGCACAGCGUCAGACACCCGAGGGAGAGCUGAGCACAAAGAAAGCCCUCAUUCCUCCUCAGCCAGGGAGGAGAGGGAAGCAGAGCAGAGACAGACCCAGUCAGCCGCAAAGACAAUCUCCGCCAGGCUUUGGGUCUACUGAUAACCCACAGGAACCAGCUCUCACUGCCAAGACCCUAGAAGACACCUCCCCACCAGGGAAGCAAAAGAAUAAGAACAUGAGGGGACAAAAAUCUGCUGCAGAUACCAGACAGAGGACACCUGUGAAGGGCAAACCUGAAGCAGAGUCCGAGAAGAGAGGGGAAAACAGAAACGCCUCCAGGGCCCCGACUCCCCCUAGUCCUUCCAACCUCUGCCCUAUCGCUCCCGCUCUCCUAGUCAACCAGGAAGUGAACAUGGAAGUGCACCAGGAAAUGCUUGACAACAGGCCGCUGCCUGGCUGCCAGACAGAAAGCAGGAAGGACAUCAACGAUAACAAUGUGGGGAGUGGCCAUGCCUCCCCUACAGAACAGAAUAGAUCCUCUUCUCCUCCACCUCUUCCCUCCUCCUCUCCUCCCCCUCUCUCCCCCUCUCCUCUCUCCUCCUCUCCUCCCCCCAGUACCUUCAUGGUGCCGCCAGAUGAGGACCUCCCCACCCCCAUACAGGAGUCCCAGCCUCUCUUCACCACAGUCCAGCCUGUCACCCCACUCCUAGACACCCAGCCUCAAUCAACCAAUCUUCAGGCAGCCUCCGCAACCCUUUCUACUACCCCUAUCGCCCUUCCUAAGCAUCCCCCUAUACCCACUGAAAGUGUCCGUAUCUCCCCUACCCCCUACUCAUUCUCAUCUCCACCCACGUCAGCCCUGCCCUCGACCCCCAGCCUUACCCAGCCUACCCAGGAGUCUCUGCCACGGCUGGAGGCUCCAACCACAGUGCCUGUCCUAGACAUCCGCUGCCAGGCCCAGCCCCAGCCAAACCUCCUCACCGAGCCCAACAGACAGAUCAAGCCAGUUCAGUCACAAAGGCCACAGGACAGAG